UGUAGUAUCAAUCCCUCAGGUUUCUGGGAAGAUUGGAUUUGGGUGUCUGCCAUGCCAAUGGCUCGCCUUAAAUGAAUUAGUGGGAAAGUUGACCCAGUCGGGAGUAAUAAGUUUCUCUCGAUCAAGUUGAUUAGACUGCUCAUAACAACUAUAUUUAUGACUCUGACCUCAAAUCAGGUAGGACUACCCGCUGAACUUAA
rnacentral:misc_RNA from 1 species